CCUGAGCCUCGUUGGAACCCUCCUCCUCCUCACUGGGCUGGUGGCUGUCACCCUGGUGGUCAGAAAAGUUAAAGAAAAAAAAUUACAGAAGAAAAGAGAGCAAGAAUCCUGCUGGGCCCAGAUUAACUUCGCCACCACAG